rnacentral:rRNA from 1 species
ACGCCGCGUGAGCGAUGAAGGCUUCGGAUCGUAAAGCUCUGUUGUUAGGGAAGAACAAGUGCCGUAGUAACUGGCUGCACCUUGACGGUACCUUACUAGAAAGCCACGGCUAACUACGUGCCAGCAGCCGCGAUAAUAA